CAGAAGUGAGAAGAGCAAAGACGAAGAUAACUAUUUUUUUUGUACGAGUUCCAUUCCAUUCCAAAAUCAAAUCCGAUCCAAUCCAACGUGACGCACGCCGGAGCGGAGCGGAGUUGUUACUAACUAACCUCAAAUCUCAACCUGUCAGUUGGUCAGUUCAGUUUUGGUCUCGACAUCUUUAUUAACAGUUAAUUUCUAACUAAGGUGUUCUUGUCUUAGUUAUAUCUUAAUAUUAAUCGUAGAACAACGUUCUACCUAAUUUGCUGUGAAAAAUAUCUAUUCGUGUGGAAUCAGAAUGGAUUAUCGACAAAGAAUCAGGUCGAACUUGGCAAACCAUCAGGUUUAUAGACAACUGAGUUCACAGGCCUCAUUUUAGCAAAAAGUUGUAAGUAAUGCACCACAGGUUUGCAUAAGUGUCAUAUUAUUAAGUUGUCAUAUUAAACUCAUAAUAUGCCUUAAUGUUGAGGUGGCUGUUAGGUUUAGUUUUUAUGUGUCCAGUACCUAGUAUAGGCCUAGGUAAACUUUAACUUAGGCCUACCUUAUUCAGUGCAACAAAAUAAACUAGCCUAGGCCUAGUUCCAAUUCAACUAUUUUCUACUAAUUGAAGUGUUAAAUUUGGAGUUGUGAAGUAUUUAGUCAGUAUGUUACUUCAUUAUUUGAUCUCACAAAUUGUGUACGGUAAAAAAACUUUAUGACAACUACUGUACUACAUUUAUAUUCUAAAGACCAUUGUGUUAAUACUAUAAAUCUGACAUUAUUAAUUUGAUUAAUAAUUAUAACCCCGACAAAUUAGAUUCAUUGGAUAUUUUGAUUGUUUAAUUUUUUACAUUUUCAAUAUAAAAUUAAAUUUAGUAUUGUAGGGUAUUAUCAAUAGUAUUCUUUUUGGUGAUUUUACUUUUUCAUACAACUUUUAUUGUAAUUUUGCAAAAAAAUAAUUUAUUACCUAACCUUGAUUUUUGUUAACAUAAUUUGUAUUUUAGCAUAUGUAAUUUUCAAAUACAAAUUGUUUAUUGCUAAA